GCUGGCUCUCUUACACUUCCACCUUCCACCAUGGGAUGACGCAGUAAGAAGGCCAUCAGUAGAUGCCAGUCCCUCAACCUUGAACUUUCCAGACGCACAACUUAUGCCUCCAUUUUCCUCUGCUGCAUGGCCCCAGGAGAGAUUUUUAACUAGCUUUCUAACCUUGGUCCAGAUUGCACAUGCAAACGGUAGAGGAUGCAACACCCCCGCUUGUGGAGCUGCCGCUUGUGUCUGGCAUGGUGAGUUCAAAAUUUGCUGCAAGUCC
rnacentral:lncRNA from 1 species